UACAGAGGGGGCAAGCGUUAUUCGGAAUUAUUGGGCGUAAAGAGCUCGUAGGCGGUCUGUCGCGUUCGAUCGUGAAAACUUGGGGCUUAACCCUGAGCUUGCGGUCGAUACGGGCAUGACUGGAGUUCGGCAGGGGAGACUGGAAUUCCUGGUGUAGCGGUGAAAUGCGCAGAUAUCAGGAGGAACACCGGUGGCGAAGGCGGGUCUCUGGGCCGAAUACUGACGCUGAGGAGCGAAAGCGUGGGGAGCGAACAGG
rnacentral:rRNA from 1 species